GUGAGAAUCCAGGAAGGCAGAGACAUGUCAGCUGUGAGAAGCAUAUCCAUGCAGUUAUUAUGGCCACAUGUAAUCUUUGCUGGGCUUUGUCAGCAUAUGAGCUGCUGAUGAGGAUGACUUCUUUCCCAACCAGGAAUGGAUGAUUGCAGAAAGGAUGACCUACAAGUGGAUGGUCAGAUCUGGCUGCAAAUGGAUGUCUGAAAGAAAACGGGGAUCCUAGGAAACCCAUCACAGCCCUCUAUGAGCUUCAGAAACCAGCAAGAUGGGAUUUCGGAUGUUGGAAUCAUGAGGCUUUUGUUUAAGAGUUGCUUAAGAUGUUCUUCAGAUCCUGAAUUCCAGCAGAACAGCUGACAUCCACAACCAGUUUGAGGAUCCCCACAGAAGAGCUGAAUCAACAUGAGAAUGCAGUUUCUUCAUCUCUCCAGUCCAUGACUUCACCCUGCAAUCCCCACAGAAGAGCUGAAUCAACAUGAGAAUGCAGUUUCUUCAUCUCUCCAGUCCAUGACUUCACCCUGCAAUCCCCACACCUCAGCCCACUCCAAACCCCUUACAAACUCCUCAGGGAGGCAAAUCUGAGGUUUCCUUCCAUCUCCUUGUUCAGAUGCCCUAUGAUUAUUAAACCCUUUCUCUGCUGCAAUCCUUGAGGUCAGUGUGUCCACUUGCCAUGCUUUAGGUAAGGAACCUGUUACAGUCACACUUCCAUGUCCUCUUCCACGGUGCCACUCUCCCACCACAUCAAUGUUACCAACCCAGAAGCUCUCUAAAUUUCACUGUUCAAGAGUAUUUAUCAAAGCUUUGUUUUGUAGGUGUGUUUGAUCAAAUCAUUGGCCAUUGGUGAUUGAGCUCAAUCUCCAGCCUUUCUCCCCUCCCGGGAGGUUGGAGGGUGGGGUUAAAUGUUCAACCCUCUGAUCCCAUGUUUGGUCUUUCUGGGGACCAGUCCCCAACCUAAAUCUAUCUAAGGCCACCCUGAGUCACCUCAUUAACAUAAACUCUAGUAUGGUCAAAAGGAGCUCAUUAUGAAUAACAAAAGAUACACCUAUCACUCAAGAAAUUCUAAUAAUUUAGGAGCUCUGUGCCAGGAACUGGAGGCAAAUAAAGACCAACUAUAUUAUACCACAACUCAACACCAUUAAUUUGAUUUAUAAAGCUAUGAAGUUAGACAGUGAGACAAACUUUCCUGAACCAUGUACGCAAAGACCACCCCCAAAAUUUCCCCCAAAGUUACUUCCCGAAGAAGCUUUGUCAAAAUUUCCAUUAGAAGUUAUUUUCGGCCAGAUGCAGUGGCUCAUGCCUGUAAUCCCAGCAAUUUGGGAGGCCGAGGCAGGCAGAUCAUGAGGUCAGGACUUCAAGACCAGCGUGACCAACAUGGUGAAACCCUGUCUCUACUAAAAAUACAAAAAUUAGCCGGGCGUGGUGGCGCAUGCCUGUAAUCCCAGCUACUCGGGAGGCUGAGGCAGGAGAAUCGCUUGAACCUGGGAGGCGGAGGUUGCAGUGAGCCGAGACUGUGCCAUCACACUCCAGCCUGGGCAACAGAGCGAGACUCCAUCUCAAAGAAAAAAAAAGUUAUUUUCAGUUCCUUGGCCCAAGAUUCCUUGCAGCAAUCCUUUCAUUUUUGCUUUGCUACAAUCAAAACAAGGAAAAAAUUAUGAAGAAUAUUAAAAGAGACUUUCCUGUAGUGUAUGCAUAAGUCGUUAUCAUGAAAUUUGAAGUUGGGUGUGAUUAAUUACUAUUUAGAUUACACUAUUCAGCAUUAGAUAUAUAAUUUAUUGACUAUGGAGUAAGAGGUUGCUAUUCCAUAUUUGUAAAAUAGAAGAAUUGGAGUCUCUGGAUGAUUUUAAAGUUCCUUCCAGUUUUUUGCUUCUUUCAUUUUAAUAAAUACCCAGCAUUCAUUAAAUCAUGGGCUUCAGGGCCUUAGACACUUCAUCGCCUUCUUACAGGUUCAAAAGGGAAAAUCAGAUUCCAUCUACAUCAUUUUAAUUGAUGACACCAUUUUGGAGAAUAUAAAUCAAUUGAGUUGUAUGGACUUCCUAUGGCUAUGUCUUUAUCAUGGUAUAACUUAUGUUUAAAUGGUUCUGAGAAAAGAAAAACAGCUCAAAGAGCUCUCAGCUCUGUGAGGUUUGCAGGCCCAGAGAGACACAGUGCAGGGCUUGCAGUCAUCCCCUACUCAUGCCUGGGGGUAUUGUUUAAAGUCAUUUUGUUCCUAACUAGCUGCCUCUCCUGCUGUCUUCAUGUUCCUGGAAUUCAUGAUACCAAGGACAGUAUAUAGCCAAUCAAUAGCUUAUUUUAUUUAUCUUUUUUUUCUUUUUUUUUUUAAGAGACAGGGUCUCACUAUGUUGCCCAGGCUGGUCUUGAACUCCUGAGCUAAAGCAAUCUUUCCCACCUUGGCCUCCCAAAGUGUAGGAUUACAGGCAUAAACCACCAUGCCCAACCUACUUAUGUUAUUUGAAUAGAAAUUAUUUUCCUUUUUGAUGAGUAGAUUAAAAACGACGACAACAAAAAGAAUGGAAAUUCUUGGUAACCAACUCAGGAAGUGUCUCUUCUUUUCCUUUAAAAAUCCUUGGCCAGGCACGGUGGCUCACACCUGUAAUCCCAGCACUUUGGGAGGCCGAGGCAGGCAGAUCACCAGAGGUCAGGAGUUCAAGAUCAGCCUGGCCAACAUGGUAAAAUCCUGUCUCUACUAAAAAUAAAAAAAAAAAUUAGCUGGGCAUGGUGGCAGAUGCCUGCAGUCCCAGCUACUCAGGAGGCUGACCCACUAGAAUUGCUUGAACCCAGGAGGCGGAGGUUGCAGUGAGCUGAGAUUGCACCACUGCACUCUAGCUUGGGCAACAGAGUGAGACUCUGUCUCCAAAAAAAAAAAAAAAGUAUUUAAAGUGUUUUGAUUAUUUUCUUUUUGUUUUUUUAAUUGGGCAGCCCCAGAACCAGAAUAGAUCCAGAGAGACCCCCCUGAUUUUUUGUAAGUUUCUCUGAAGAUGCAGGUUGGCCAGAGCAGAUUGUAAAACUGCGGGGUUUAGCAAAGAAAUCACUUAAGCCAAUUGAGAAGUGAUUAAGGAGAAGGUUAAUUGAAUGAAUUAGUAACUUAGUUACUAGAGUAAAUUUUUUCUCAUUGAAAGAAAACAGUGCCAGACACAGUGGCCCAUGCCUGUAAUCCCAGCACUUUUGGAAGCUGAGGUAGGAGGAUUGCUUGAGGCCAAGAGUUCCAGACCAGCCUAGGCAACAUAGUGAGAUCCCUGUCUCUGCAAAAACAACUUAAAACAUUAGUUGGGCAUGGUAGGGCAUGCCUGUAGUCCUAGCUACUCAGCAGGCUGAGGUGGGAGAAUCACUUAAGCCCGGGAGCAUGGGGCUGCAGUGAGCUAUGAUCAUACCACUGCACUCCAACCUGGUUGACAGAGCAAGACACUGUCUCCAAAUAGAAGGAAAAGAAGAAAACAAGUUUUUUAAAAAAUAUAUUAAAAUAAAUAAAAAAGAAAGGAAACAAAGUGGUUAGACAGAGACUUCAGAUAGUAGUAGAAGAGAAAAAAGGAGGGUGAGGGGAGAAUAAUUUUUCCUGAACAGAAAGAAGAAAGAGCAAGGAAAAGAGAUAUUGGAGAAAGACUUUGCCUUUAAGGACAUGGAAGUCAUACUCCACAAGAUUCUGAAUUAAUGUACACAAUGGGAGAAACCCUGUAAUGUCUACUAGGACUUUUAAAGAGUGAUUUCUUCCUAGCAUGUCAUAGGCCUGGAAGCUUUAAAACUGAGGGAAAAAGAAGAAUUUUUUUGAAAACUAGAAGAGAAAAAUCAAGAUUUUGUUAUGAAGUGGCAACUAAAUGACAUAGUAACAAAAAUGUGUAUCAAGACCUGUUUGACUAUUUUAAAAGUUUGUUUGAUUUUAUAUAGUGCCUAAAUAUGUUGAUACAUUUGUAAUCAGUGUUUCAGUGUAAUAAAAUGAUUAAGAACACAGUCUUCAAGACAGACAAGACUGGAUUCUAU
rnacentral:lncRNA from 1 species